rnacentral:rRNA from 1 species
AGUAAUAUAUCGGAACGUGCCCAGUCGUGGGGGAUAACGCAGCGAAAGCUGUGCUAAUACCGCAUACGAUCUCUGGAUGAAAGCGGGGGACCGCAAGGCCUCGCGCGAUUGGAGCGGCCGAUAUCAGAUUAGCUAGUUGGUGAGGUAAAGGCUCACCAAGGCGACGAUCUGUAGCUGGUCUGAGAGGACGACCAGCCACACUGGAACUGAGACACGGUCCAGACUCCUACGGGAGGCAGCAGUGGGGAAUUUUGGACAAUGGGCGCAAGCCUGAUCCAGCCAUUCCGCGUGCAGGAUGAAGGCCUUCGGGUUGUAAACUGCUUUUGUACGGAACGAAACGGCCUGCUCUAAUAAAGUGGGCUAAUGACGGUACCGUAAGAAUAAGCACCGGCUAACUACGUGCCAGCAGCCGCGGUAAUACGUAGGGUGCAAGCGUUAAUCGGAAUUACUGGGCGUAAAGCGUGCGCAGGCGGUUAUAUAAGACAGAUGUGAAAUCCCCGGGCUCAACCUGGGAACUGCAUUUGUGACUGUAUAGCUAGAGUACGGCAGAGGGGGAUGGAAUUCCGCGUGUAGCAGUGAAAUGCGUAGAUAUGCGGAGGAACACCGAUGGCGAAGGCAAUCCCCUGGGCCUGUACUGACGCUCAUGCACGAAAGCGUGGGGAGCAAACAGGAUUAGAUACCCUGGUAGUCCACGCCCUAAACGAUGUCAACUGGUUGUUGGGUCUUCACUGACUCAGUAACGAAGCUAACGCGUGAAGUUGACCGC